GUUUUAAUAAUUUAAAUAAAAUAUUAGUUUUGUAAACUAAAAUUAAGGGAUCAAUCUUUUAAAACA
rnacentral:tRNA from 1 species